rnacentral:rRNA from 1 species
AGUGAACGCUGGCGGUAGGCCUAAUACAUGCAAGUCGAACGGCAGCACAGUAAGAGCUUGCUCUUACGGGUGGCGAGUGGCGGACGGGUGAGGAAUACAUCGGAAUCUACUUUUUCGUGGGGGAUAACGUAGGGAAACUUACGCUAAUACCGCAUACGACCUACGGGUGAAAGCAGGGGAUCUUCGGACCUUGCGCGAUUGAAUGAGCCGAUGUCGGAUUAGCUAGUUGGCGGGGUAAAGGCCCACCAAGGCGACGAUCCGUAGCUGGUCUGAGAGGAUGAUCAGCCACACUGGAACUGAGACACGGUCCAGACUCCUACGGGAGGCAGCAGUGGGGAAUAUUGGACAAUGGGCGCAAGCCUGAUCCAGCCAUACCGCGUGGGUGAAGAAGGCCUUCGGGUUGUAAAGCCCUUUUGUUGGGAAAGAAAAGCAGCAGGUUAAUACCCCGCUGUUCUGACGGUACCCAAAGAAUAAGCACUGGCUAACUUCGUG